rnacentral:lncRNA from 1 species
GGGAAAUUCUGUUUUUCACCAAUGGCAGAAGGUUCUGACUCAUCUCCACCCAGACCAACAGGUUUCCUGGAGGCCUUGCUUCCCCAGACGGGGGGCUCCACCCAGGUAACUCAACUGGCUGCUGUCCACCAGGAAAGGAAGGGCUGGGUCCCCAGUCUCAGAGAACCAGGCCAUGAUCACUCAGUUAUCCAAGUUAGAAGUAGAAAGCUUUCCUUAGCAUUUCCUUGAUUCCCACUCCCCACAUCUAAUGAGUACUGGGAUCCUCCUCCCUCCCGAGGCCCUGUGGAUUCAUCUCCUCCAACUCUCCAUCUCAGCUGCCACUGUCUUAGCUCAUGGCGUCUCUCCUGGACUGUUGAACAAUCUUCACAUUUCAACCUCAAAACAAUGGGGAAGACUUUGAAAAGUUUUAACUGGAAAGUAACUUGAUCACAUUCUGUUGUCAUGGAAAAUCACACUGAAUCUAAUGGAUAAACUGGAAAGGCAGCUGGAAUGGUGACAGAGAGAAAUCCAAUGCAGAGCUCUGCUGGGGUCUAAACGAGAAAUUAGGAGGGCCCAGGUUAAGCCUAAGGAGGGGCAAGGAGGCGGGUGUUUAGCAUGUAAAAUGGAUAGAGCAUGAUAACGGAUUGGAAUUAGAAGGUGAAGGAGAGGGAGUAUUUAUCAUGAUGUCUCCUGCUAGAAGCUUAGGAGAUUGGGUGGAUGACAGUGUCAUUAUGAGAAAGAGGCAAUUAAGCCUGUGAGAAAAUGAUGAAUUUAAGGUAGUGUGUUAAGUUCCAGUUUCAUGUGGGGAAUGUCAUGUGGAGAAAGAAUCCAUGAGCAGUAACAUACAAGUCUUGGAUUCAGAGAGAGGUUAAUGUUGAAGAUAGGCUUUGAGUCUGGGCUUAGAGCUGGUAAGGUCACGGCAUGUGUAACACUAAUGGACAGGGAUUAUAAAGUAAAAAAGGAAGACAGUGUGUCCC